GCGCGAAACCUCCGCAAUGCACGCAAGUGCGACGGGGGAACCCCAAGUGCCACUCUUAACGGGGUGGCUUUUCAGAAGUGUAAAAAGCUUCUGGAAUAAGGGCUGGGCAAGACCGGUGCCAGCCGCCGCGGUAACACCGGCAGCUCAAGUGGUAGCCGCUUUUAUUGGGCCUAAAGCGUCCGUAGCCGGUCUGAUAAGUCUCUGGUGAAAUCCCACAGCUUAACUGUGGGAAUUGCUGGAGAUACUAUCAUGACUCGAGGUCGGGAGAGGCUGGAGGUACUCCCAGGGUAGGGGUGAAAUCCUGUAAUCCUGGGAGGACCACCUGUGGCGAAGGCGUC
rnacentral:rRNA from 1 species